rnacentral:lncRNA from 1 species
GGAUUUAUAAGAUGGGGGAGGAGUGAGAACUAAGUCAAGUCAAAGAGACUCAGCCUUGGAUAAGCUGACCCCUGCUAGGAACUAGGAUCCCAAGGCAGGGACUUGUGGGUUUGCCUCUUUUCCUUAAUGUGGUAGACUUGGCAGCUAGCCAGCCUCUUGACAGGUGGGCUGACUCCUUGAAUUAUAGCAAGUGAGUACAACAGGAGACCAGCUAGGAACAUAUAUGGGCAGCCAGAUCUCACAAGUUAGACUUGCUCCCCUCUCUCUCUCUCUCUCUCUCUCUCUCUUCUUACUCUUCUUUCUCUUCUCUUCUCUUCCCUCCUUCUCUUCCCUCCUUCCCUCCCUUCCUCCUUCCCUCCCUCCCUCUCUCAGGAUGUUUUCUAGAAUGUUGUAGUGAGUGUGUUGUUUGGCACUGUGCCCUUCUGAAUAUUGCUGAGUCCCCUGACAUGGUGACAUGGUUCAAAGUGCUGGCCUCAACACAGAGGAAGAAAGACUAUUCAACUGAGCGAUUGCUAAACUUACAGAAAACCUGUAAUUUUUUUUUCACAUUCCUCUUAACUCUAGCAAGUGACCACUUCUUGUGUAUUUCUGUUGCUCUUUCCGUAGGUUACUAAGGAAACUCAUUCCUAUUUAUUGAUGUAAAUUUUGGCAUUGCUUGAUUUUACUCAGUUGAAAAAUGUGCUUUGAAUUUUUAGAAUAUUGCACAACUAAAAAAAUAGAUUGGGGCAUUUUUAAAAAUUUUCCUUUAUAGAAACAAAUUGUUAAAUAUAAGAUUGAAAGUGUCUAUUUUUCCUUUGUUUUUGAGGAGGAAGUUUUUGUUUAAAGCAAUACUGAAAAGCAGACAGAUAAUUCUGUCCUCAGAGGCCCUGUGCUCAUGUGCACAGGGUUAGUGGUUACACUGGGGGUGGGGUGGGGUGGAGGAUGCUCUAUCACUGCAGCAGCUGCCUAAUAAUUCAGUUCUCAAGAAUCUGAACGUGAGCCCCCAAGUCGGCAACACUCAGCUUCCUUCUGUCAGUUACUGUCAGUUACUGGGAAACAUUAGAACUCAGGUGCUUGAUUUGAGAUGGGGACCCAGCGGCUUAUACAGAUUGUAGGUGUACUGCAGGGAGGAGAGACCAUGGCACCACCUUGUGUUCCCACCUUAUUUUUAUAUGGGAAACUUGAAGAAAAAAAAAAGAAAGAAAAUGAGAGUGAAGGAAAAACACAAGGUGAGGAUGCUGCAGAGAGCCUCCUGCUCAGCAGAGCCUUUGAGCUGAAGAACGAGAGGUGGUGAUUAUGAGAAACCAGUUAUGUGGAAAAGCAGCACUUCGGUAGUCUUAGAACAAUUGUCUUUUUAUUAUAUGUGAUCUGUUUUCUUAUCCUCUGUUUGUUUACCUCCCCAUUCACUAAAGUCGCCUCAAAACUCAGUUCUAAACGGAUCUUGACAAACAUGAACGUACUUCCCUUCUGGUUAGCAGAACUCUGGGGUGCAGGGUCCUUUGUGGGGGUUCAGGGUUCCUUAGGUUGUGUUGAGAAACCUCAGUGUAGGCCAAACCAAAAUGGAUGGUUCUGGUUUUGUAAUUGUCUUUCUUUCAUGUCCUAUUAUACUCUGUAUUAAAAAACAGAGGGUUAAAAGGCCAUAGUCCAUUUCCCAAAACGUAAUACACGCCUCUUGUAACAGUGAGGUGAUUUGCUGAUGUUUUUAUCUGAGUAGGCUGUCAGGUGAGUGUGAUUCCUUUCCCGUACCCAGAGGGUACAUUCUCCAGGUGGCCAGAGGACAGGUUCCUUCUUACACAGAGCCUGCCCUCCCUCUAUAUGAUUCUUGGUCUCUGCCCACAUCUCCCGUUCAGUUAAUUUAAACAAAUCUCUGAGGCCAGGUGUGGUGGCACAGUGGCUCACACCUGCAAAUCUGCACGCACAUGGGAGGUUAAAGCAGGAGAAUCAGGGAUGAGGGUUAGCCUUGGCUACAGAGAGUUCAAAUCCAGUCUGGUAUACAUGAGUCCCAGCCUCAAAACCAAACAAACAGGAUUUCUGAAGAAAGAGCACUCGGCUGUUGGGUGUGGUUCAGGAAGCUCACUGGCAGAGAGUGUCUGUGGCCCCAGUCAAGGUUUUUACCCAGUGACAGAUAACUGGAAAUGACAAUGUUGAUAGGAAAUAAAGUGUGGUGCCACCAUGGAGUCAUCCCUGGCCACUCCCGACACAAGCGAGGCUUGACUAUACUACUGUGGAGUAUACACGUGCAAUAAUCAGUGAACUCAAUCCCUGGUGGACAGAAGAGCCGCCCAAGCUGCGUGUAAUCUCUGGGUGCUAUCACAGUGCGUUUCACGAGUGCUGUUUCCAGGCAGUUAGGUUGGGCUGAACUUGUGAGUAUCAAACAGUGCUCUUCUUUCUGUGUAGACCUUCAGCAAAAGCAGGUACUUGGAAACCACAGGCUCACCUUCUCUAUCUAUUCAGUAAUUAUUAACAAAGAGACCUCCAUAAGGGAGCACUUGGCUGUUACUGAUAAUGUACCAAUUGCUAAAGAACCCGUCUCCAAGCCAUCCGGUGAUGUGUGCAGCAUCACUGUAGAACUGUCCCGUGCCGCUCUUCACUUCCCUUUGGGUGGAGCCUUUUCGACUCCCCAUGGCAGGCUAAUCUUUCUCUCCAGGUAGUAACUUGGCCCCGAGGUUGGGCAAGUACUCCCCAGACUGAGAGAAGCGGCUGCGUCACAUCUGCUGUGUUCCGUCAUUGGUGAUCAGCCAGUCAGCAUUCGCUCCCUGUGUCUAACUCUCUCUCUCGCACCUCUCCCAGAUGCUAUCUAUCGGGUUUUCUCACUGUUGCCAGUGGAUGUCAUCCAAACAGUGGGCUCAUAUCUUAUGGUUUUUGUGCAAUCAUUGUCGUAUUGUAGUCCUAAGACUCAUUAUAGUGUAUUUUUGAUAUUUUUGAAAUGUGUUAAAUUUUUUAAUUCAAUAAUAUGAGCCAGAGCAUGUUGCAGCAAAUCUAUUGUUUGUAAAAAAUAAUAAUAAACAAUAAAUAAAAUAAAAUGGG